CAUUUGGAUUUAAAGGUCUUUUAUUUUUUUUCUUUUAGUUUCUUGGUAAACACAGACUGUUUGGUUAGGUCACCAGAAUCUGAUGCCCGUUUGAUCUCACCUCCAGCUUCCCAAAGCGCGCAGACGUAUUUUCGGUUAUUUUCUAAAUCCGGUGGUCAUCCUAUCGGUAAAUGGGUCUCAGACGCCAUUUGAAGGUUGGUUUGAUCUGUCAUGCACCGAUGCAUGGAGAAGCGUGGCACUUCCGACGAGCCUCCGGUUCUUGUUAUGAGGUCGCCCUGUGGUUUCCGUCCAGUCUCCGACAACAAAUCUAUCAUUGAAUGCUGCUAUAGUUGGGUUUCUCCUUUGUUGUGACUAAGCAGGUUCUCGAUCCUCCAUUUAUGCUUUGUGUUUAAGCUUUUUGAGGGUGUUGCGUUUUAAGGCCUGAUUUCGUGUCGUGAAGCAUGGUGUGAAGUGAAUUGGUAUUCUAUGCUAAGUUUUGAUUAAAAAUGACUUUUGAUAGUAAGAUCCAUAUUACUGAAAUCAUCUCA
rnacentral:lncRNA from 1 species